rnacentral:lncRNA from 1 species
CUGUGCCCACUUCCUAGAGGAAAACGGGCAAAGCCCAGGCUGCUACAAAGCCCAGCGGUGGGGCAAGGACUGCCCUGAGUGCAGCCCUGCCAGCCCCUACCUCUGACGCUCUGGAGUUGGGGGUGGGGGAUCUAACUACCCAAACCUCCCCAGGAAGGCCGCAUCCAGGCGCAGGGAUGACCCAGCACUUACUAUCUACUCACACCCACAUUAAGGUUUCCCUUUGCCCACAAAGAGGGAUGCAGUAACAUGUCAGAUGGUGGUUUGCAUCCCUUUUUUUUGAGAUGGAGUCUCGCGCCCGGAGGUGUCCUCGCGCCGCGCUGCUCCUGCCGCCUCGGGGGUGAGAGAGGGCGCGCCACCCGGACCCCCGGCCUGGGUCCCCCAGCUCCCCAGGCUUGAGUGCCAGGUCCCCCAUCCCAGACAAAUGGUUAUUCACACCUGGCCACAGCAGCCAGACACCAAACGACAGCCCUGGUAACAGGGUCCGCAGGAGGGUGGUUGGCUGGGCAGGACAUCAGGCCCAGCCCUGCCCCUGAGGAGCUCCCGCCUCUUUUUUAAUUUUAAUUUUUAAUUAUGGUAGAAUACACAUAACAAAAUUUACUAUCUUAACCAUUUUCAAGUGUACAAUUCAGUAGUGUUGUUUGUUCACAUUGCUGUGCAACCAAUUUCAGAACUUUUUUUUAUUCUUGCAAAAUAGAAACUCUGUACCCAUUAGAAAACUCCCCGUUUGCCCCUUUCUUGAAGUGCUUCUACUUUUCCUAUUGUUUGACUACUUUAGAUGCCUUACAUAAAUAGAAUCUCACAGUAUCUGUCUUUUUGUGACUGGCUUAUUUCACUUAGUAUCAUGAGAAUAUCAUAUGUCAGAAUUUGAUGCCUGAUAUUCCAUUGUAUAUCUAUACCACAUUUUGUUUAUCCAUUUUUCCACUGGUGGACACUUGGGUUGCUUCCCCUUUUUGGCUAUUGUGAAUAAUGCUGCUGUGAAUAUGAUUGUGCACAUAUCUCUUGGAGACUCUGCUUUCAAUUCUUUUUUUUUUUUUUUUUAGACGGAGUCUCGCUCUGCCGCCCAGGCUGGAGUGCAGUGGCACGAUCUUGGCUCACUGCAAGCUCCGCCUCCCAAGUUCACAAGUAGCUGGGACUACAGGCGCCUGUCACCACGCCCGGCUAAUUUUUUUGUGUUUUUAGUAGAGACGGGGUUUCACCGUGCUAGCCAGGAUGGUCUCGAUCUCCUGACCUUGUGAUCCACCCGCCUCGGCCUCCCAAAGUGUUGGGAUUACAGGCGUGAGCCACCACGCCUGGCCUCAAUUCUUUUAGAUACAUAAUGCAGAAUUUUCUGAUUGCUGGACCAUAUGGUAAUUCUAUUUUUAAUUUUUUGAGGAAUUGCCAUACUGAUCUUACAUUCCCACCAGCAGUGCACAAGGGUCUUAAUUUGUCUGUAUCUCUGCCAAAACUUUUUUUUUUUUUUUAGACUAGCCAUCCUAAUAGGUGUAAGGUGAUAUUUCAUUGCAGCCUUGAUUUGCUCUUCCCUAAUGAUAGAAAUGUUGAGCAAAUUUUUUAACGUGCUUGUUGGCCGUUUAUAUAUCUUCUUUGGAGAAAUGUCAGUUCAACUCCACUCAUUUUUAAAUUGGGUUAUUUGUGUUUUUUUGCUGUUGUUAAGUUUUGGGAGUUCUUUACAUAUUCUGGAUAUGAAUUCCUUUUCAGAUAUAUGAUUUACAAAUCUUUUCUCCCAUUCUGUUGGUUGCUUUUUCACUAUAUUGAUUGUGUCCUUUGAUGAACAUACAUUUUAAAUUUGGAUGUAGUACAAUUUAUUUUUCCUUCUGUUGCCUGUGUUUUUGGUAUCUUAUCUAAGAUAUCAUUGCCAAAUCCAGUGUCAUGAAGACUUUCCCCUAUAUUUUCUUCUAAGAGUUUUAUAGUUUGAGGUCUUAUGUUUAGAUCUUUCAUCUAUUUUGAGUUAAUUUUUGUGUAUGUAAUAAGGUAAGGGUGUGAGUUCAUUCAUUUACGUGUGUGUAUCCAGUUCCAUCAUUUGUUGAAAAUACCAUCAUUUCCCUAAUGAAUGGUCUUGGCACCUUUAUUGAAGGUCAUUUGACCGUAUUCAUGAGGGUUUGUUUCUGGGCUCUGUAUUCUAUUCCAUUGGUCUUUGUGUCUGUCCUUAUGCUAAUACCACACUGUUUUGAUUACUGUAGCUUUGUAGUAAGUUUUGAAAUCAGGAAGUGUGAGUCCUUAAAUGUUGUUCUUUUUCCAGAUUGUUUUGGCUCUUUGGGCUCCUUAAAGAUCGAUAUAAAUCUUAUGAUAGAUUUCUCUGUUUCUGCAAACAAUGUCAUUGGGAUUUUUUUUUUCUUUUCUUUUUUUUUUUUGACAGGUCUUGUUCUGUCAUCUAGGCUGGAAUGCAAUGGUGUGAUCCUAGCUUACUGCGGCCUUGAACCCCUGGGUUCAAGCAGUUCUUUAGCCUCAGCCUCUGACUAGCUAGGAUUACAGAUACAUGCUACUAUGCCUGGCUGUCAUUGGGAUUUUAAUGAAAAGCUUUCAGUCUUUCACCAUUGAGUAUGAUGUUAUGGGCUUUUCACAUAUAGCUUUCAUCAUGUUGAGAUUUGCUAGUGUUUUUUUGUUUGUUUGUUUGUUUUGAGAAUUCUUGGUUAGAUUUUGUUUUGUGGUUCUUGGAUUUGUACCUAAUCUGUUGGAGUCAUCAGUCCACAAACCCAUGAAUUUCCUGAGCCAGUAAAAAUGCUUCCAAUGGGCAGCUGACAGAGGACUGCUACAGACAACUGGAGCUGCCUUAAUGCAUUUGGUGACUGCUGCACCUGCCCGCUGAGGCCCCUCAGCCUGGUGGACAGCUGUCUCCUACAGUGCCUCAGUGGGGCCGUAGGGCAUGGUAGGGCAGGGCUCCCAGGCCCUGUGGCUGUCUGCCUCUGAUCCCAGCCUAGCUGUGAACCCUGUCAGUUCGCUCCUCAGGGAUGCUUUGGUCCCUGUGCCCACCCCAGAGUACAGAGGACGGGGCUCAGCUCCAUGUCUGGGCCUUUUACACCCCGCCUCCGCCUCCACUGCGCCUGCCCUCCCUAAGGCAGGGCAUGGGCCACACGGCACCUUGCGGGGUGGGUGCCCGUCCCGGUAAGCCGUGGAGGCAAUGGGCCAGCCACCGCCACCAAUGUCCGGCCCACUUAGUAGGGCACUACACCUCUCCACACUCCUACAAACUUCAUGCUCAUCAUUGGGGGCGGAGU